rnacentral:rRNA from 1 species
GCCUAACACAUGCAAGUCGAACGGCAGCACAGGAGAGCUGCUCUCUGGUGGCGAGUGGCGGACGGGUGAGGAAUACAUCGGAAUCUACUUUUUCGUGGGGGAUAACGUAGGGAAACUUACGCUAAUACCGCAUACGACCUACGGGUGAAAGCAGGGGAUCUUCGGACCUUGCGCGAUUGAAUGAGCCGAUGUCGGAUUAGCUAGUUGGCGGGGUAAAGGCCCACCAAGGCGACGAUCCGUAGCUGGUCUGAGAGGAUGAUCAGCCACACUGGAACUGAGACACGGUCCAGACUCCUACGGGAGGCAGCAGUGGGGAAUAUUGGACAAUGGGCGCAAGCCUGAUCCAGCCAUACCGCGUGGGUGAAGAAGGCCUUCGGGUUGUAAAGCCCUUUUGUUGGGAAAGAAAUCCAGCUGGCUAAUACCCGGUUGGGAUGACGGUACCCAAAGAAUAAGCACCGGCUAACUUCGUGCCAGCAGCCGCGGUAAUACGAAGGGUGCAAGCGUUACUCGGAAUUACUGGGCGUAAAGCGUGCGUAGGUGGUCGUUUAAGUCCGUUGUGAAAGCCCUGGGCUCA